UACGAAGGGGGGCUAGCGUUGCUCGGAAUUACUGGGCGUAAAGGGCGCGUAGGCGGACAGUUUAGUCAGAGGUGAAAGCCCAGGGCUCAACCUUGGAAUAGCCUUUGAUACUGGCUGUCUUGAGUUCGGGAGAGGUGAGUGGAAUGCCGAGUGUAGAGGUGAAAUUCGUAGAUAUUCGGCGGAACACCAGUGGCGAAGGCGACUCACUGGCCCGAUACUGACGCUGAGGCGCGAAAGCGUGGGGGAGCAA
rnacentral:rRNA from 1 species